rnacentral:rRNA from 1 species
UACGGGGGGGGCAAGCGUUGUUCGGAAUUACUGGGCGUAAAGGGCUCGUAGGUGGCCAACUAAGUCAGACGUGAAAUCCCGCGGCUUAACUGGGGAACUGCGUCUGAUACUGGAUGGCUUGAGUUCGGGAGAGGGAUGCGGAAUUCCAGGUGUAGCGGUGAAAUGCGUAGAUAUCUGGAGGAACACCGGUGGCGAAGGCGGCAUCCUGGACCGACACUGACACUGAGGAGCGAAAGCGUGGGGAUCAAACAGG